CCCAGGGUGGCCGAGUGGUUAUGGCAUCGGGCUUCAAAGUCCUAGGCUGCAUGCCUUCACCUAGCAAAUUGUAUAGAAGAAGAUUUUCAGAUAAAUGUUAUCAAAAAAUAAAAUAAUUCUUGAGUGAAGACUGCUAAAUUAGUAGCAAUGGAGAAAUAUCCAUGUCUCUUUGGUAAAACGAGUGUUUAUUCUAAGAGAGUGAAGCAUCUGCCAAAGGGUCAUUGCUACCCGAUUCACUCAGUGAGCGCAGGUUCGAAUCCUGCCCCUGGGA